rnacentral:lncRNA from 1 species
CUACAAUCCAUCUAAGUGGUAGCCAUUUUUCUUCAGUUUAUCAGUGAAGAAGGGAUCCUUCUGGACCCUUGGAGUAAGAUCCUGCUUCAGUGCAGCACCCUGAGAGUCUCGGAACUUUGGAACCGGUGGUUCCUCUGGAAAGGGUUCGUCACAUCUGAAAGAUGGAAAGGGGAUGAAAACGAAGAUUGUUGAUUCCAAGACCCGGAGAGCUUGACUCUGCUUAGAGGUAGAAAUUUUCCUUUUGUGUUCUCUCAUACUGUGUACUAUAAACAGCCUCAAUAGUCUUUUUCUUAAUAAAACUAGUUAGUAUAUGCUAGAGGAGAAUAAUGCUGUGAUUAUACAAUCUGUCUUUUAAAAAGAAUCUUCUGUUACUUUAACCCACCACUUAGUUCUCGAAUGACAGAAUGCAGGCUCACCUGAGAAGCCUGUUGAGUGGAACCCUGAUAGCU